GAUGAGAACGUAGCGAAAUGCGAUAAGUAAUGUGAAUUGCAGAAUUCCGUGAAUCAUCGAAUCUUUGAACGCACAUUGCGCCCCCUGGUAUUCCGGGGGGCAUGCCUGUCCGAGCGUCAUUGCAACCUUCAAGCGCGGCUUGUGUGUUGGGUCUCGUCCCCCGUGGACGGGCCCGAAAGGCAGUGGCGGCGUCCCGACAUGGUGCCCGAGCGUAUGGGAAUCCUCUUCCGCUCGAAUCGGCCCAUGCGGCGCUGGUCGUAACCAAAUUUUUUACCGGUUGACCUCGGAUCAGGUAGGGAUACCCGCUGAACUUAAGCAUAUCAAUAAGCGGAGGA
rnacentral:misc_RNA from 1 species